GAGCACGUAGGUGGGUUUGUAAGUCAGAUGUGAAAGCCUUCUAUUCAACGGAAGAAUUGCAUCUGAAACUGCGAGUCUUGAGUGUAGGAGGGGAGAAUGGAACUUCUGGUGGAGCGGUGAAAUGCGUAGAUAUCAGAAGGAACUCCGGCGGCGAAAGCGAUUCUCUGGCCUAUUACUGACACUCAGUGUGCGAAAGCUAGGGGAGCAAACGGGAUUAGAUACCCCGGUAGUCCUAGCCGUAAACGAUGGGCACUAAGUAGAGGGGUUUU
rnacentral:rRNA from 1 species